rnacentral:lncRNA from 1 species
CUGACCCAGAAUUGUUCCUAUCUCAAAGAACUGCAAGGGCAAACAUGGAUAAAAGACUGAAAGAAAUGGGGUCCAGUGACCAGCACAAUUUGGGAUACAUCUCAAGGGGCUCCAAGACCUGACACUAUUACUAAUGCUAUUGUGUGCUUACAGACAGGAGCAGUCCUCUGAGAGGCACAACAAGCAGCUGACCAAGACAGAAGCAGAAACUUUCACUCAUCCAAUGGAGAGAAGCUGGUUAACCCUGUGGUUGAAUUAGUGAAAGGCUGGAGAAUUUGUGGCGGAAGGUGAUUUCACUGAAAAAACCUGCAAUCUCAACUAACCUGGACACCUGCAAUCUCUCAGAUUCUGAACCGCCAUCCAAGCAGCAUGCACUAGCAGAGAAUUAAUCCUGAAUGGUCAUAAGUAGAACCUAAAGAGCAACAACAUGAACUUGGAAGGGGACACUGUUCUGCUGAUUCGUGAGUUCUGAUUUCAUCCUCGGACCUGAUCUACAUCUACUUCUUUGACUAGAAGACGACAGGAGCCGUCCUCUGAGAGUCACAACAAGCAGCUGACCAAGACAGAAGCAGAAACUUUCACUCAUCCAAUGGAGAGAAGCUGGGGACCCCUGUGUUUCAAUUAGUGAAAGGCUAGAAGAAUGUGUGGAGGAAGGUGAUUUCACUGAAAAAAACCUGCAAUCUCAACUAACCUGGACCCCUGCAAUCUCUCAGAUUCUGAACCACCAUCCAAGCAGCAUGCACUAAAAGGUAUGA